CUCUCACAGGGAGAAGAUGAUCUGCAGCAUCCUGCUGCUCAUCAUCCUGACCUCCUGUGUCUCUGGAACAUUUGUAGUGAAUGUGACCCAGACCUCCUAUCAGGCAGAGGAGAACCACGACAUCACACUGGAGUGGACCUUCACAACCAACCCUCACAGUUCCUCCAACUCUCUUAAUAUCUUCUGUGAACUGUUAACUGAUCUCAGACCCUCAGUCCUGUUUCAUCUCCAUGAAGGAGUUGAGGUCCCAGAGUCUCAGGAUGAACAGUUUGCAGGACGAGUCCAGUGGGACAAAGACGUCCUCAGAGAAGGACGACUCAGACUUCAUGUGUCCAGACUCAGGACUGAAGACUCGGGACUGUACAAGUGUGUAGUAAUCACAAGUCAAGGGAGUAACUCUGGUAGAUGUUGGCUCAAUGUCACUGCAGCUGCUGAUGAGCCAAAACCUCAGAGACCAACAGUGAGACCAGAACCAGAGAGUCUGGGAAACAUCUGGAUCUACGCUGGACUGUCAUUAGGAGCAGCAGCAGUGGCAGUUCUACUGAUUCUCUACCUGAAACGCCUCUUUGUCUUCAAUUGUUGUUUUAAAUGUAUUAAUAAGAAAAGAAACAUAUAUUCAGCCGUACAGACGUCGAGUUUAUCAGAGAAAGGAGCCAUCAGGACUAAUAGAACUCAGUCUGGAGGACCCUCUUUAAAUGAGUCAUCAGAACAUAAAGUCACAGUCAUAAAAACUAAAUCAGACUCCUAGAGUCUCUCCUCCUUCUGUUCUUAGUGUCAGAAAACUAUUUGUGAUAUCAAAUGUUAUAUUUUUAUAUUUUAAAUGAUGUUCAUGUUACUACAGGUUUGAGUUUAAAUGAAGAUGACAUGUUACAUCAUGUUUUGUCUUCUUCUAGUUGUGUAAUUACUUGCAUCAAUAUAUUAUGUCAUAUGUUACUUGUAAUGUUCUCUCUAUUAUUACCUGUCUAGGCACCACUGAUGUAAAUUAGCAUUAAUGCUAACUCCAGCAUGUUUACAUCUUGAUGUUCAUUAACGAGCUCUGUCCAUGUUCAGUUACUAUGAAUUUAAAUUAAGUUAUGACAGCAGAAAUGACUAAUGUCUGUAAUAAAGCUUUCAUUGAGUAAAUGUUUUGUAGCUUUUAAGGAAUCAAGGAAAUAAACUUGGUGACCUUUGUUACAAUAAAAUAAAUGAAAAUGACCACAGUUUAUGUUUUUCAUCAGGUAGUGUUUCAGUUCUACGUCGAUUGAGACUAAAUGCAAAAACAGACUUUUUUUACCUUCAAUGUAAAAUAUUUGUAAUCCAGAAGAGUCAGAGAAAAUAAUGUUGCUGCUGAAACAUCUGAGAUAUGAUUUGGUGUUUUACUACAACAGAAAAAGGAAAUGAAGUGAAUCAAAUUUGGUAAAUUACAGCAAAUAAAGAAAUCACAC
ensembl:lncRNA